UAAGUUGCGCGCCAGGCUCGUCGAAACCUUUCUUUUACUUUAUGUUGGUGUGUGCGUGCCCGAGCGGAGGAGAGGGAGAGCGGGUGCUUCAGUGGCGGCGGCGGCGGGUGCGGCCGGCGAAGGCCGCUCGAUGCCGCGGCGCGUCGUGCCGGGGCUCGAGGGGUACGAGGCGCGGAGGGAGGGGAGGCCGGUAUAAGAGUAGAGGGCCGGAGAUGACGGGCGAGCGUUGGUGUGGGGGCACCGAUCCCAAGGCCCGUCACGAAGCGGCCGCGCAGAGGCCGCCGGGGUCUACGUCUACCUCGUGCGGUACUCUCAAGGGGUAGGUGGUACCAGCGGCAGCAGUUCCCGAAGAAGUUCCUUUACACUUCCUGCGGUACCUGGACGUCGAUGAGUUCCAAAAUAAGGUGGAAAGGAGAAUAUAGUUCAAGAUUGUCAUGUAACCCCCUCACCCCCGCCUCUUCCGUGGGGUGGACUUGAAAGUAAAGAGUUCGGAGUUCGCCGCUGUCAUGGAUCGUUGUGCUCCAGUCCCUCACAAAAAAUGACCAAUGCAGGUUUCACCUCUCGAUUCUUGUUGUCGGACUUCCUUUGAUAUGUCUCUCUCGAUCCUCCUAACCAAAGGUCAGGUCCUCACUCGAGGACAGAAAACUAAACUUUACUUUGUGGGUGACCCUCUCCAGACAUCGACGACGAAAGCACUCCGACCAGUACCUCCCCGCGUACGGGACUCCACACACACACAAUCGAUACUGCUCUUUUGUAUACUUCAAAGACGAUAACAAUUCGGACUACAGCUUCUCAACUUUACUAAACACUUAGAGACACGUGCAUUUACCUUGUGACCUGUUCAAUUCGGUACACAUAAGGUAGAGGAAAUUAUAUAACGAACACUAACCGGAUUAUCUCUCAGACGUUCUGCACUAAAGAUAAGUUUCGUAGAGUAGGUCUAGUGAAAUGUUAUGAAAAGAAGUAUAGAUCUUUUACGCACAUACGUAUAUUCAAAGCACUUGUUAAAAAAACUUAUAGGUCCAGUGAAAUACGUAUAGGUCUAGUGAAAUGUUUGUCUUGUUUACGCACAUAAGGAAAAAGUAGUAUAGGUAUAGAUCUUUUCGUAAGGAGGUACAUUAUCCCAAAAACUUUCGUCAUACGUAUAUACAAAGCACUUGUUAAAAAAAAACAAUAACGUUGGUAAUCUUUCUUAGAAUGACCUAACAGGACCUUUUAUAAUCAGAAGAUAACGGCUAUUGAUCUAGGCACAAUUGAGUUAUCCCACUAGAUCGCUCAAUAGAACUCUGUUUUCCAGCGGACGUUAGAAUAUUCCACUAGUCUAAACGGGAACUCUGACGUUCCAUACAAUCCUAAGUACUGUAUACAUAGAAGAAAAGGAUAAAAAAGGAAAAUUUCGACAUUGAUGGUAAACUCUUAACUGAAUUUGACGAGCGUAAUCACGUAGUAAAACAUCAGUGGACUUUUAUUACAUCGUAACUGACUUUGACGAGUGGUAAACUUCAUAACUGACUUUGUAAUUGAUGGUAACUUCAUAAAAGAAAUAAAAAAACUGAUCUUUUCGGACUUCUACUUAAUUCAACUAAGUACAUCUACUUUACCAAAAGGUAAAGGUAAACACAGCAAAGUCACUUUGUUUUACUAUAACGUCGAGAAAAGUAAAUACACAACAAAAUCACGUAAUAAUAGAAGGUACUAAACAAAAAGUGACUAUGUAAAACAACGUAUAUACCUCCGGUAGACGAUAAGACGACUAUAAAGAAUAAUAUAGUAGAACAAACGCUUGAAUUUUUCCAGGGAGUUUCUCUUCGCAAAAAGUAUACGAGGACUUAGACCACACGCCAUACUACCUCAAAUGUCUAACUCUUGACAACCUCCUUCUGACCAUAAGUCGCCUCCCAGUGUCUAAGUGUCCACAUUCCUAGUCAUGUUAACCCGGAGCGUAAUAAAAAAAGGUCUUAACCCACACGCAUGAGAGAUUUGACUUAACUCACUCGAUUUAGACACGUAGAUUUAACAUCAGACAUCGAAAUACACAAUGCAGAAUUCCAAGUUUAACUUCUAACGGAAACCCUCAUCAAAAUCAACCAUCUUCAAAGUCCGAUGUUUAUGCGUGUGUAAUACACGAAUUACACACCGUAUUUGUACUAGUCAAAAUACAAAUCUUUGGUUUAGUGACAGGUGGGUAAAUAAAAAAGUACUCAUAAAACACAACUUUAGUCUAGUGGCAAGUGGACAAGACACAUAACAACAGAAAUUAUAAAAAAACGACUAAGAGUUAUUUUACGAGUCAAAGUCCUACACUAAAAGUCAAAAUCCGUAAACCAUGAAAGCCGUAGCUCUUUUUUUUAACAAGGAGACUCGCACACGGAAGUUUACGUUUCAAGACUGAUACUAAAGCGCACGUUGGUAUCGCGGCAACCGGCGAGACGGAUGGCUCACGGUGGGGCGGCGGAGGAGGGUGGGGGGUGGACCCUGGAGUGGCGGGCGAGGGGCGGGCUGUGUGGGUGUUGCGAACUCCGACUCGUCUGCGGUAACCGGGCACCCGUGCCUUUGUCUCAGGUCCUACCACUACCACGGUUCCUCCUGAGAGUUUGCAGCUGGCUAACGUAGCAACGACGGCAUGGUUACCUCACCGCGACGAGGUUGGUGAGACUCUACCGGCGUGUUGUAAAAGAAAUCGUUUCCACAGAGACAACGACUCUAAGAAUGUCUACCGACCCUCAGCCGCGUUUCAUGUACCUGUGUAACCACGAUAUAAAAUUUUAACACUUUGUCGUAGGUUCGAUGAACACUUCCUCUAAUCUAGAAGUCUUCUUUGAGGUUACGUAGCUUCUAAUUUUCUUUUAGUACUUCUGAGUGUACGUAUAACAAGUGGUCUGAGUAGUUACCGUAGUAUGCUGAGUAUUGUGGUGGCUGAACUGGUGUUUAGUCGGCGACCAACGUACGGCAUCGUGAUAGUCAAGGAACACCACUAGCACCAAUGAACUUCGACUGCUCCUACCUACUACCAACCAAAACCACCUCUCUAGUCAAAAAAUCCGGACUACUCAUAGUUUACGGUACUCUUUAAGUUUUUAAGGUACCCUUCUUACUUCUGUCGAUCGUUCCAACCCAAGAGGCUCCUUACGGGUAGGCUCGACCGAUACCCCUGCUACUGAGUUCCCUACCUGUGCCGCUAGUACGAAUUGGUCAACCCGUUAGGCUUCACCUCAACAUUGAACCAGCACCUCUCUGUCCGUCUCUACUAAAAUCCCGCAGCGGACCAAACGGCCCCGCCGCGGGUCGGCCUGGAAGACCCCUACUGCGAUACUAAACCCCUCGUCGUCACGCCGCUCCGACCAAAGGGCGUAAGCCCGCACUCCAACUACCUCCUCUGAUCUGACUACGCACCGACAACUGCGAGGGUAGGCCGUUGUGGCUGGUUCGCCUGCGCAGGGUCUAGUUACCGAUAGGCCGUUGUGGCUGGUUGCCGCCUACGCAGGGUCUAGUUACGGUCUUUUUAGUGUAGCAGCUAGCAUUCACGAGGCCUGAAGCGCGUCGAGGACGACAUGAGGCAGCCAGUGUACAUGGUACUUGUACCUCACAGCGUACAUCAAACAACGAAAUGUUUUCUUCUUCUACGAACUACGGAACAAAACAACUGCUGUAAAUAAUUACUGAACGUCGUUGUCAUGCGACGAAGUCAAUAACCGGCCCUCGAUGUUGAUGAAUAGUAUUUUAUACGGUUUAUGUUACUAAAAUAAUACAUCUUCAUGUUUAUUUUUAUAAUAAUACAUCAAAGUACAACUUCUUUAUGUUAAUAAAAUGAUACAUCUUCAUCUUUAUAAUAAACGUGGUACUCCAGCAGUGACGUUCAUCAACAUACAAAGUAAACGUGGAAAAGUACGCCUUCUUUUUGUUUGUUCUCUGGGAGGAACCGGUCCGAAGGCCACCUUCAUACCUCUACGAGACCAAGUCUUAGAAUAUUGCACUUAAUAACUUAUAAUG
rnacentral:rRNA from 1 species